rnacentral:rRNA from 1 species
CCUACGGGGGGCUGCAGUGGGGAAUAUUGGACAAUGGGGGGAACCCUGAUCCAGUCAUGCCGCGUGUGUGAAGAAGGCCCUCGGGUUGUAAAGCACUUUCAGUGAGGAAGAACGCCUGGUGGUUAAUACCCAUCAGGAAAGACAUCACUCACAGAAGAAGCACCGGCUAACUCCGUGCCAGCAGCCGCGGUAAUACGGAGGGUGCGAGCGUUAAUCGGAAUUACUGGGCGUAAAGCGCGCGUAGGUGGCUUGAUAAGCCGGUUGUGAAAGCCCCGGGCUCAACCCGGGAACGGCAUCCGGAACUGUCAAGCUAGAGUGCAGGAGAGGAAGGUAGAAUUCCCGGUGUAGCGGUGAAAUGCGUAGAGAUCGGGAGGAAUACCAGUGGCGAAGGCGGCCUUCUGGACUGACACUGACACUGAGGUGCGAAAGCGUGGGUAGCAAACAGGAUUAGAUACCCCAGUAGUC